rnacentral:lncRNA from 1 species
GGACGUAUACGUGAGAGAAAAAGGGACUGGUUUUGGACCAAGAGACUUAGGAAAGUUCGGUGCAAAAAGGAACAGGAAACUCAAGCUAGUAAAAGGAAGUAAAAAAGGAGAAGAUAGAGAAGGAAACAACAGGAGAGAUCUUUAAGCAGUGGGUCUGAAUAAAGAAACUACUGCCACAGGGAGGAGGACAAUGAUUUUAUGCUUUAGUAAGUCAGAACUUGCCAGUCCACAGCUUUUAAAAUAUAACCCACUUUCUGCAAGUGAGCCACGUAGGUCUCCAUAUUAAAAAUAAAAGAAGACUAGUGCUAUAUUUUGUUAAAUUUAAAUGACUUUAAUGCGGUUCACGUUUGAUUUUACAUUUCUACAAACAUCUUGAAAUUACAAGUUCAUUGGGAAACCAGCACACUUAAUUUGCGGUCGCAGCAAUACUUGUAGGUGAUUCAAAGCCAUACAACAAAAUCACAACAGUGCCAUCUUCUUCUUUUUCUGUCUCUUCACUACAGUACUCUCUCUCACAGAAAAUACUGAUGUCAGCAUCAGAGGGAAUGGUCAGCAGUCAUCCAGAUGGGGAGUUAGGACAGUGCUGUCAGGACGGGAGGCAGAGUGGUCAGAGAGGGAGAGAAUGAGAAGCGUCGGAAGAGAUGGUAGCUAAAAAAAGCCAGGGAAAGAUAAAAAGACAGAGAAAGAUAAGAUAAUAAGAUGAAAAGAGACAGGAAAAGGAAAAAACAAACAGGAAAUGCACAGGAAAUAGUGGCAGUAACAACUGUACUUACUCAUUUUAUAAAUGGUGCAAGAAGAACAGUGACAAAUAAAGGUAGCUAUUCUUAACAAACAGAAAGGUCUACAGAAAAGACCCAGUAUGGCUUAGUUAUUCCUCUCCUCUGGUGACAGUCCACUCACUUAGCUUUCAGUUUAAGCCAGGCAGUGCAAGGCAGGAUCCCUGUGAAGCCAGUAGACUGAAACGGGCACCUCCAGAGGGCGAUUCAUCCCAUCCUAAGGCCUACAUCUCAGACUCUGAACCAUGUCUUUGGAAUGUUGUUAAUUUCUCAAAGUUCACUAGGUUUCUACAAGCAUAGAUGUGCUGAAUACUUACAGGUAACGACACUAAGAUUAAAGUAAUAUGAAAGAGAGCACAUUUUCAACUUCCUUUAUUCUGAACAAGCAGAAUUUACCAACAGCUUUCAUCUGCACAGAACAUGCAGUAUGUUUGUGCCGUGGAUUUUUGUAGCUGUUGUUGUUGUUUAAUUAUAUUUACCAAACAUUAAUAUACUGAGCACACACACAAAAAAAUUAUUCUGAUCCAGUCAAAGUUAAGUUUGCUCUUCUCUUAGGCAUAUUUAUGUACUGCUGGGGCCUUAAGCUUAACUCCUGUGAUCUAAAGUCAAAGCUUGGCGUGACUGGGAUUCUAUAUUCCCAAGAUUAAGAAUGUGAUUGAGGAAAUAUCACAUGCAUCUGAUACUUAAAAUGGCACUGCUGAUAUUUCAGUCAUUUGCCAUUCAAUUCAGUGAUUAUUUACAAAUAGGAUACUUGGAUUUUAAUGGUUGCUUUAAAUGAGCUAUAAUUAAAGACAGGAGUCAAGGAUGGAGGGGUGGUUUUAAUGUUGAUACAUAGUCCUGUCUGUUUGCAGAAGCUCCAGGAGCAAGUCUGAAGGGAUAACCUCUUUAUCCCACCUUCACCAGAUUGCCAGCCCUGAUGCAAAAGCACAACACUGCUCUUAGAGAACUGCGGUACCAAAGCAUAAAUAGUCAGAAAAGAGGAUGGGAAAAGCAGCUUCCUCCUGAGCACCGCUCUGGGGAAUCUGCAAUACAUCCCAAUGGGACAGUGUUCACAGUGUGCACUUUUCUGUAUAGAGAGUCUGAGACGUAAUCCCGGGACUGUGCAAUUCAUACCACCUUGGAGACCUGCGCAUGCAAUGGCCUUGCACAUACCAUGUUUGUAAUGACUAUUCCAGGAUACAGUCACCCCAAUCCUGCCUGUUAUGUAAGGACAACAUGGAUCUGUCAAUGCAAUUAAAAAGAUGUCUUUAAAAGCUAAAUAUUACCCUGCUUGAAAUACGACUCUGCACUGAAGAGUUUACAUCACCUAAAGAAUUGCAGACUUUUGAUGGAAAAUAGUACAGUGUUAAUGCAAAACAACAUAACGGUAGCGGCUAAAUGUAACAUACGGCAUGAAGUCUGUUACCUAGAACUUCUCAAAGUUCUGUCUGCUUUUAAUUUCAAUUUCCUUUUUGAAUGAACACAGCUACAUCAGUUUUUCAGUCUUCUUACCGUUACUCUUACAGACUGCUGUCCAGAUUCUCCUGUGCAAUGGCACAGACACUAUGCAUGAAAACGAAUCCUGCAACACGGGAGUGUAAUUCUUUUGAAGACCUGUACCUUUCUAUUAGUAGAAAUUAAUACUGAGCUCUUCUGCCUUCCAAGAAGUAGAUGUUACCACCCAAAAAUGAAUUGUGAAUUGGCACCACAAAUGCUGUCCCUGCACCACCCAUUUCUGUCCCCAGUUUCGCAGGGAUGCACUCUGCUGUGCAUCAGUUUAGGGCUCAGUGACACUGACGUGGUGCUCAGGUGAACAGCUAAGGUGUUUUAUGCAUAGCAUCAAGUGAAUAUAAGAAAACAGGAGGUUUGUUUAAAAAUAAACAAGCUUUUAGCAUUAUAACUCACGGAGACUAGGACUACUUGCUAUAUAAAUAUUAAUUGUGCAGUUAAAAAAACCCUAUGCUUUCCCUAUUGACUCUGCUAUAAGGCCAUAUGUACUCUUUAGAAAUAUGUAAACAUAUAAAUGAACAAACUGAUGAAUUAAACCUUUUUUUGCCAUCUUCCUAAUUUAUGUUAUUUUAUUACAGAUUACGGAUGAAAUCCAUAUGCUGAUGGCUACCCUGUAAUGAAGGCUCAUGUGAGUAGUCUGUUGAUCUAUACCUACACUUGCUUAUGAGGUGACUUUGCCUAGUCCAGUUGAAUGAUGAUAAACUAGCAGUUAAGGUUUAUGUAUUUCUAUUUUUAUAAUAUAUUUUAAUAUAUUUAUAGUUUUCCGUUCGGUCUCCCUUUCCAUUUAAGUUCUGACAAACUGAUGUAGAGAUAAUAGAUAAACCUCUUCUUGAUUUAGACAAUCACUUAUAUUUCAUAUUGCUCUUUGAGUACGGUACAUAAAGUACUGGCUAUAAGUGUUCCAUCUAGAAUGAAGAGCCUCAAACGUGGUGUGGACAAGAACUUGACCAAAAAAACGACUUGAUAAAUGAGGCCAGUUUUCACUUCCAUCGUUAUUACAACAAGGUUUUGCACAGAAUUUUUGCCACUGUUCAGUGUUACAGCCUUUCUGCAUGCCUGUCCCCUGCCCCGAAUGCCAGUGAGUGGAAUUGACAACAGCAAAUACACAUACAGCUGGCUUUUUUUAUUAUUUGUGUUUCCAGCAGUGUUUUUAGACUGCUAGAUUAGGAAGACAGAACAUUGGGGUAGACAUUAUUUUCUAGCAGGAUAAUACACUUUGUGGUUUAGGUUGCCUCAGAAAGAUAAUUUCAAGCCUUCUUUAGAAGCAGCCACGCUAAGGCAAAAAUGCACAUGGAGUAAAGUACGGCUCAGCACAGCAGUUAGUCAGAAAGCUGAAGUCUCAGUCUGCCUUCCAUGCAAGCACAAAGCAUAACAAGUCUGAGCACUAAACAUUAUUCCUCCCUUUCCACCCUGUUACUUCUCCUGCGCUCAUUACACCGUCUUGCAUCUUUCCCCUCCUUCUGUAAAGGAAGGGAAAUUUCCUCCUCUCCGUCUGAUUUCUUUCCUUUCACAUUUGCUUUUCCCUAUUCACCUGCACAUUCCCUGUAAUAGCAAAACUUGAAGGACUACGGAUCCAAUCCUGGGGGGAAACACUAAGCUUGUGCAUGCAGUCUUUUAGCACGGACAAAGAGUGAUUACUUAAAGUGUUUACAUUUCCCCCUUUUUCUGAAUAAAGUUACAAAAUCACCAGAAUAAAGUUUAGUACUGAAAAUCUGUGUAGGGAACUGUAAUCUGAUAAGGUAGAAUGAGAUCACCGUUCUGUGCAGAGCUCUGCUUGUACAGAAAAACAAAAUGAUUUUUACUGAUCUGGAACCACACGAUUAUUUCUGAAUCAUUAUUUUUAUGCUUAGCUGUUAUGUGAAGUGAAUCCACCUCUCUCCUUUGGUAGUCAUUUUAAAUGAUGCACUGAAUACUUCAGCAAAUGCAAUGACUCGUAUCUUUAAAUACUUUACGAGCAUACAGCAGGAUACUUAGAAAGACAUCUUAAAAAGCUAAGAAGUUAAGACCAGUAUAUCGUACACAAAUUAAGUUCUUUUUCCCCUGUAACAGCUCCCAAGCAACAUUUAUUACCUGUGUCCAUGACAUACAUUUUUAGAUGCCAGCUCUUCUAAGCAGGCAAUCUAUUUCACGAGCUUUCUAAAGCAGUGUCGUAGCCAUUACAUCAAAUGUUGUUUCACAGAUGGUUAUCAACACUUGGUGUUUCACAGAUGGGAUAGAAGAAAAAGACCCAACACCUGAAUUAAAAAACCCCACCAACACAGUAACGUCCAUUUAAAGAUACCCCCUUAGAAAGUGGCUCUCAAUCUGCAGACUCUUGAGGUUUUAUGAACAAUUUUUAAGUGGGCUGCAAAAUAGUAAUUGAAAAAACGAGGCACACUAUCAGAAGGCUGACAGUAUCAGCAGUAGCUGCACUCACCCACUGGAUUUCUUUCUUUUUAAGAAGGUCCUGGAUCACAAAGAAUUGUGAAUUAGAAGAGAUUAGGCUCUAGAAAUCCCGAACUGUUGUGCUUCUUGGUAAGACAAACAUUAUCAAAAAACUGUAUUUCACCACAUAGAAAAAAAAACCUGUCACAUUCUAACGAAUAGGGGGGAAAAAGAAUGAAAGAACUCCUCUUUGACGAGCAGAUUUCUAAUGAUGGGAUACAUCCCACUUGGAGAAGAUGCAAACGAAGAGGCGAAGCAGAGGCAUUAUUUUGCUCCCAGCGCCCACUUCUCACCUGGCUGUACCUACAUUGCAGAAUCCCAUAGAAAGAACAGUAAGAAGAGAGGCUUCCAAUGGGAGGGGUUUGAGGGGCCUUCUGUACUUGUGUGUGUAUCCUUGUUUCUGGAGUAAGCAGGAAAGUAAGGUUUCCAGUUCACAAUCAGACAAGAAGCUGGGAUUCCAGAAGACACAGGAGAGAACAGACAGGGAAAGUGUGCAGUGAGGAUGUGGCAGAGCUAUAGCCACGUUUGGGGUACUGACUUCCAGCUGACCCCAAUGCAUUUAUCCAGCUGUGACCUCUCCAGCUCCUACAGGAAUCCUGUUCUGACCUCUGCCCCUAAAUCUUUACUCCCAUACACUGAUCUUCAGUUCUACCCAUAUACUCCAUCACUGCUUCUAUACCCACAUGCCUUGCUUAUAAGCAUAUUAAUCCCUCUCUCCUAUCACCCCCAGAUGACACUGGUAAAUAGGUUUUUUUCCACACUACAGUGCUAGAAAAGCACUCUCCUCCCUUGUAUAUUUCUUUCUGAUACAAGGCAAAGAUUUCCUCCUGACCUCAUACCCAGCUUAGCCCUGUGCAUGUGAACAAGACAAACCAACCAUACGCACUGUACAUAUUAGAACACUGAAAAGUGACUGCAGAAUCCUAUCAGUUAGCAAGGGGCAUUUAGUAAUAAUAAUAUAAUAACAAUAAUAUAAAAGCAUUCACAAAACUCAUUUCCUAUAUGUAUCAAAAAAACAGGAAUAAGAGAGGUGCGACAAAAAAAGGGUUACACAGAGCAUGCUGGCCUACUUUAAUUCCCUUAGAACACCGUUACUGUAACUGCUGUUGCCAGUAGUAUUUUGCUUACCUUUCAUAUAAUACGUAUGCUACAAUCUAACUUUAGGUAAGACAAUAGACUUCUUCAGGAUAAACACAUUUAUACCAUUUGAAUGAGGUUUAUAGUUUGGCAUUUCUCCACUUCAGCACCACCGUGACUGCUAAAAAGCUGUGCAGUAUGUUGGAAAAGAUAUAAUGUCUGCAAAUUAUUUAUGGAUGUGCUUGUGUGGUAUUUAUGACAACAGAAAGUAACCUACGCUGGGGCAACUGAAAGCAUAGCUAAUACAAAUACAUUACGAUUCUGGAAAAUUGUCAGUAUGGAUGAUAUUAAUAAUAAUAAUAGGAGGCUUGAUAGGAGGAAAAGGAAGGUUUUUACAAUGUAAAAUUACCAUCCGGGGAGCUUAUGUAAACUAAAGAGCGUGGUCAAAUAGGAGUGGAUUUUUUUAGAGUAAUAAACUCAUCCUGUGCUAAGACAGGCUAAUACUCGUAAGAAAAGUCUGCAUCUGCUAAUGUUGCUAGAAAGUCAGAUAAGCAUUCAAAGAUGUACAUAUGUGUUCAUUUGAUUAAGAUGAGAAGUCUAAUCUUUGUGCUAUGGGGACCCAAUCCUCACUUCUCAGGCCACUAAAUCCACUAUUCAUGAGCGCAGAUGGAAAGGAAGAGGAGCAAAGACUAUUAGCGGUGCUCAGGACAAGGCAACAAUUAAAAAAGCAGCCGUUCUGUUACUAGAUCCUGGGAAGGACGUGGUGGGGACAGAAGGGUUGCUGCUACCAGCUUGAUCUUCCUGGCUCCCUCUGGGAAUCUCUUGCUGCUGCUUCAGGCUGGACGUUAGGAAAUACUACUUCUCUGAAAGGGUGGUCAGGCACUGGAAUGGGCUGCCCAGAGAGGUGGUGGAGUCACCGAGCCUGGUGGUGUUCAAAGAGCGUUUGGAUGUUGUGUUGAGGGACAUGGUUUAGCGAGAACCAUUGGUGAAGGGCGGAUGGUUGGACUGGAUGAUCCUCUGGGUCUUUUCCAACCUUGGCAAUUCUAUGAUUCUAUGAUUCUAUGCUUCUCCUGCAGAGGCAUGUGGCCUAUCUAAUGUUGAAAAAGCAGGCAGUGCUCUCUGCCUUUUCAUACACAGCAGAAGAGCAGAGCCCAAAUUUCUGGAGCAAUAGAUUGCUGUCAGCCCUUAACAUUUUUCACAAAACAGCACACUCCCACCUGAUUAAACUUUUAAUUGAAGGUGCUAUUUAAAGCACCAUUAGAUAUGGUUUAGCCCAACGGCUGUUCAACUUACCAUAGUCCUGUAGCCCAUUAGGGCUUAGUGGACCACGGCUUGAAAACCAUUCCUGCCACGUCAGAAAUACGAUGAUGUUCCCUGCUCCCUCCCUCCCUCCUGACCUUCCGGUUGCUGUGUUAAACGUUACUGCUCCUCUAUCUGAUUUCCCCUGAGACUGAUUUUAGGACCUGCUAUUUGCUUCUGGCUUUCUGAAGUAGCAGCAAACUGGCAUUCUCCUUCGCCCAUACAUUUGUAAACAGGAGAAGUAAGGCCAAUAUGACCAUAACAUUACUACUGCCAGACAAAGGAAUAGACAGAAGCAUAGUUUAGAUAUCAAUAAAUAUAUGUAUAUCUUUCAGGUUUAGGAAAAAGGGACCAAUUUACAUUUGAUUCAUAUUUGAAAAUUUAUCAUCAGACAACAAGGCCUACGAGCUUUUAUUUACAGAAAAGCUGUAAUUCUACACAGGUUGGGUUUUGGCCACGGCUGGUCCAGGACAAACAGAUGUGCAGUUUUGUGCCACAGAACUAUGGCAGAUGAAACUGGUAUCUUCUGCUAUCAUAAAGGUCACCUAAGAUACAGAAAACAGUGACCAAGGGCUCCUUGUUAUUCUAUUCUAAGAAAUAAAGAGUUAGAGUCUCCUAUUAAAUGCUUCCACAUAUUCGUGGUUUUAGAGAUCUUUCUCAUGUUAUUACUCCUCAGCCAGCAUUUUUCCAAAAUGAAGAAUCCUGAUUCAGUUACUGUCCCUGCCCAAUAGCUGUGCCAUAUCUUCAUCAUCCGUGUCUGUUUUUUAUAUAAUUCUCAUCAGUGCUCAAAACUGACUGGUAUGCCAGCAUGACUCCUUUGUUUCAAGUACCAUAUUGCAUCAAAUCCAUCCGGAAUGAUUUCAAGAAAUCAGCAAGAGCUGCUAAAAAUCCACACAAGCAUUAGGAAAAGGCUUGAGAACCCAGGCUUUUCACAGCAGCCAGACAGCAGCCAUCAGCUUAACAAUUAAACUUCACCUCUGUGACAGGCAGGAAUGCCAGGAUCAAAGUCUGUAUUUCAAGCUCACCUAAGGCUGUGAAACCCUAAGAAAUAGGGAAGUAGAACUUCCAAGUUGCAGCUCCUGUUAGAACAGCUGCAAGUCCAUGCCUUUCUGAGCAGCAGGCCUGGCUGCAGCCUGCAGAGCUGACAGAUGAUGAGGUAAUGACCCUCUCUGCUGACAGGUCUGGUUUAACAGUGGGUCAGUCAUACCUGGCCUCUGGGACAGCCGUGGCUCCUGCAGCACCACAGCCUGUGCUGUGAGAUCCUUCUGCAACUCUUCAGGGCCAACGUCAGCUCUGACUCCAAAUGCACAGUAGCCUUUUAUUGUCUCUAAGCAUUAUCACUGCACCUUUUCAUACCAUUUAGGAACAGGUGAACCAGAAAAGGUGCCAGUACAAAUUGCUGGGAGGUGGUGUCAUUAAAGCCACCUACUAGUUGCUAUAGUCUUCUUUAUCUUGUAACCGUUUAUUAAUCCACAAGGAAUCUUACGUAUCUCAACACUUCACUGUGUUAACAUUCUUUGGUGAUAGACCUUUUUAAAAGCUUUUUGGGUGACCCAUUCCCAUGUGUCUGUUUACUGCUUCAAACAAUAAGCGAAGCCGUAAGACAAAACUACCCUGUACAGAAAGUCAAGGUGAUGGUUGCCUAUUACAGCCACACGUGUUCCUAUUAAUUAUAUUCUUUAUCACAUUCACUGGCAUUUUGCCUGCCAUGGAAGUCAGACUUAUUAGUACAUUAGUCCACGAUCGUCCCUAGAGACCUUUUUAACAUGGUCACAUUUGCUGCUUUCCAUUCCUCUGUCAUCAACACCAAUUUAAAUGAUAGAUAAUACAACACAGUUCACAGAUAACCAGUUUUAUUUCUGAAUUUCUCUGCAACUACCGAAAGAACAUCGUGCUAUCUGGCAAUCUGCUAAUGCCCAUUUAAUCAAGUUGUUCAAAAAUCUUUUACUGAUAUUUAAAAAUUGAAAUACUUCUUAUAAAGAACAACUUUUAUAUGGGACUGUUCCUAAUGUCCCUGGAAUGAACUCUGCCAAUGUAAGGGUUUGUCCAUAUGUUUCCUUCUGCAGUGGCUUUGCCUUUAAAUAUUCUGUCUCUGGAACUCGGUGUCCUGCUAGCAGAAUUAACUGAAAAGUUUACACUUAUAGAUUUUUCUUUUUGCUUUUAUGAUUUUAGCCUAUUGCUCCUCAAAAUCUUUUUGUCCCUCCUUAGAAUAGGUCUACAUUUAACUUCCCAGAACUGUGCUCUUCUCCUCUUUGCUUGUUUGGAUUUCACUUUUUGAAAAACAUCUAUUUGUUCCUCGUAACUUCCCUUACUGCUCAGUUGUCAUGAAUUCUUAUUCACUUGGGUCAGAAUUAGAAAACAAACACUCUGUGUCUCUCUUAGCCUCUUACAAUUUUUACUUGAACGAUUUCUUCAUUUGUAUGCAGUUCUUUUUUACAGUUAAACAAUACUGGAUUGUUUAUUUAUUUUUAUCUUUUUCUCUCAUGCAAAUACGACAAACUUCAGUUUGAUAUGAUGUACCACUACCAAAUGUCUUUCCUAUAGUUACUUUGUCAACCAAAUCCUGGUUACUAAUCUAAACGAACUCAAGAGCUGUCCUCGUUCUACUGGAUUCUCUGGAUAGUUUGCUCAAAAGUUAGUUCUUGAUGGUAGUUAAAAACACAGCUUAUGCAUGAUGCCCUAAUGUUAAGCUUAUCCAGACCAUAGUUUGAAAACUGAAAACUCUUGUUACUAUCGAGCUUCUCAAUUGUAUAGCCUCUCUGGCCUCCUGCUGUAUUUCACGGUCACUGUGUCCACUCUAUCAGCUCAUUCAGAGCUCUUGCCAGGCUUCUCCUGCUCAGAUAUGGAACCACUUGUAAUUAUAUUUUGUGGUUUAGUCUGAUAAAUUUAACUUAUUUGACUAGUUAGCAUAUAGAGACCAACAGACCAAUCUAUCAUUUCUCUAUCAGCAAGGCACUAACAUUUCAUCAUCUCUGUUAUCAUCUAAAUGCUGAUAUUUUGGUGUCACUUUGAAAGAAGGAAAAGGGACACAUGCAGACCCACUUCCAGAAAGAGAACGACAUACCUGAGGAAUUCCUGUUGCAAUUCACGCUUACCACUCUUCUGAAGAAUCAUUAUCUUCAAGGUACCAGGGAAACAGAGCAGUAUCAGGUAGCAACGUACCUUGAUACCGAAUCAAAACUAGUGCAGGUUCCUUCUCAACAGAGAACCAAGUGGUAUUUGACAAGGACUGACCAACAGAAUGGCCUGUGGUUAUUCAAGAUUUCUGUACCAAGAGAUGCUGUGUCAGGAAGGGAAGGCACUAAGUAGCAGAAUGACACUAUGGAAGUAUAUGAAGUCCUUUAAUCUCUUGUAUACACUGAGGAUUCGUAAUACUCACAUUAACUUCCUCUGAGGAGGGAGAGUCUGCUGUUACUGCUGUGGAGAAGAUAAAGAGGGGUGCUUUCUGGACACAAUGCCAGUAGCUAUUGACUUGGGUUCGACAGCUGAGAAGACUUCUGGGGUGCUAGCAUUUUCUGUGUUGGCUGAAACUCACUUCUUUCCCUUUUGUGAGGCCCCUAUUUUUGUGAGCACCUUAUUUCUGCAUUAAGUAUGAUGCGAGUCAGGGCUCAGCAGAAUCCAGAGGCUACACUGCAGUAUCCAACAAGUGUUCAUUAUUAUUUAUUUGCAUUACCACAAAUCCUAGAAGGCUACACCCUGGACCACUUCUCGUUAUGCUGGGCCAUGAAUAAGCAUACAACAAAAAGUCCACAUGAAUUCUACGUGAAGAGACAACAGAGAUUACUGCAGAGUACAAAGGCAAUGACAAAGUAUUACUGUGACAAGCAUCGGUAUUAGUAUACUUGUACAACAUACUUAUUUUCUAGUUGGAUUGUCAUAAGCUUCACAGUACAUAAAACUUUUAAGAAGAUAUUAAAGGGAGACAGCAAACAGUUCUGUUUAUGAAGGAGUCAGCUACUACACGAGAGGCAGCUGAGGAGAAAGUAUCCAGUGUGAAAAUAUAACAACUGAAUGAUGGAAGCUGGCAUCAUAUGUUGAUCAAAAUCAGAGUCAACCUCUUGAUACUGAAGGAAAGGUAUCAGGUAGAAGUAGUCUUGAUGGGCCUUGAAAACAAAGACAGAUAGCUUAUCUUUAUUGCUUUCAAUUGAAGGAGGAAGUUUAAAAAGCCAAAGGAGUAAAUCUGGAAACUGAUAUUUACAGCAGCACUUGGAACGCAUAAUGACAAGACUACAUUUGUCAAGGCAAAAGAAGAAGAUUUUCUAAUAACGAUAUGAUCCAUGGAAAACCUGGAUGAAAAAUACAAGCAACCAACAGAGAAGAAAGAGCAUCCCUGAAGGAUUGGAAAAAGAUUUCCAAAAACUAAGAUUUAGCCUAGGUUUGAUGACUUAAAGCAAACAACAGCAUGAUGGUGUCAUUCACCGAGGAUGCAGAGAGGUUUUGUGAGGACCCCAACCAAAAAUAUGAAAAAAUUGCUAACAAAAGUUGUAACUGGAAAUAAAGAACUGAGGACAACGCUGAAGAAAAUUUUCAUGCAUUAGAUCUGCUUAGGAGUAGAAAAGAAGAUGGGAGGAGGUAUAUGAAGUGACACAUAAAACACUGUUCUUCCUGUACUAUGAAAUAAGAAAAUUCUUUCACGCCACAUUUAUUACUGGGUUAUUACAGCUACCUGAGCUACCAUGUUUUGACUUUCAAGGACUGAAGAAGAAGAAUGUUCAUGACACUGUAAUUUGAUGGGUGCCUCAUUCAGCAAACAAAAACAUGCUACAUCCAGCUCAAAGACAGGACAUUGGUGAUACAAGCCAAGCGCAAACAGCAGUGGAGAAAAAGAUCUUACAGCUUAAAGUUAAAACAACUAACAUGCUGAACAUUCAGGCACAUUCCUUUCCUCUUCCUCCUUAUUGUACAGAACCAAGGCUAUCAUUUCAGCUUGCCACUGAAGGAAAAUUACUCUCCUUUGCUCUAGUUUGGUAUUUCCAGCCCUUGAAGUAUUCCCAAACCUACAUAAAGUGUGCCCAUGUAGCAAAUGCCCACACCCUAAAUUCCACAAACAUCAACAAGAUCUCUUCGUGUCUGCUUUCUUGCUGUUUCCUAGUUUUAGUCAUUUACAACAGCACAGAAUGGGUUGAACUAAAGGAACAAGCAGAUCAGGUGCUCAACCACACGGGUUAGCAGCCGUGAGUACUGGAGACAUACAGCAGGAGACAAUUCAGAGUUCCUUUUCUUCCAAACAGUGUUUUGUAGCAGCAUUACCUCAGGCAGAAUAGAGCUGUGCCCCUACAUUCUUUCUCUCAAAGCACAGGGAAGUUGCUCUCUCAGGAAGGAGAUGCAGUCAGAUGUGUAUGAGCUGCCCUCCGUAGAGAUGACUGAAAAACUUGGAGACAUAUGAAACAUCCAGGGGCCUCCUCAUACCCCACUGACUAAUAUAUCACCUUGCUUCUUUAUCUCUUCUGAAACCAGAUCUUUUCUGAGGCACUUUUUUUUUUCAAUCUGGUGUGGAGAGGGAACAUAGGAGGCUGGGUUUGGUUGCUGUGCAAUCACCUGAUCUCUCUCUCCUUUUCUUUCCUUUGCACAACUUAGGGGAAGUAAGAAUAAAUAUGGCAUAUAGAACUAAAAGAUGAAAAUAGUCAACUAUUAGAACUGUGCUUUUUAAACAAACAAACAAAAAAAAUAUCAUUCAAGAUUUUAGAUGCAAAGUGAAAUAUUCAGUGUUCUCAUUAUUCAGGAGAAACAUUCAAUGUUCUCAAACUAUGGUUUCAUCUCAUAUUAAAAAAUAACUCCAUUUCAUUUUUGUGUUCAGAAAUUAUAAAAGAAGCACCGUAACAUCCCGUAACCAAAAUAAUCCCGUUGGGUUUUGAGCUCUCUUUGAGAUGUUCAAAUUUAAAAUAGUUAAGUUAUGAGUUUGAACAAGAAGCUCUUUCUUCUGCUUAGCACUAGCCACAUUUUAGCAUAUGUAGACCAUCGACCUCUGUUCUUAGUUGCAGUUGUCAUCUCAAAUACUCUGUUUAUACAGGUAAUUCACAGUCACUAACUCUCCAAAGCCCACACGACCCCUCCAAAAAAACUGCAGAGAACUGUAGAGAAAGACAUUUCCUGGAAGUUUUAAAUUAAAUAGAUAGGUAAAUCAACCAGAUAUUUGAUGAAAUGAAAGGUACCAGUAGCUACACAUUCAGUUCUCCUUCUGGGCAUAUUUUUGCCAUAUAUUCUUCUGUUUAGUUCCUUGUUUCUUUUUGAGUUUUAUUUUGUUUGUUUGUUCAUUUGUUUGUUAAUUGGACUCUCAAGUCUGCUUUUGAUCUGGUUAUGAUCUCUUCUUUGGUCUUGCUCUUUCUUCAAAUUCAUUUAAUGUUACUUUUGUGCCAAGCAAAAAAAUAAUUCUACAAUCUCUUUUUCUUUACUCCCCAAUCACUGUCUGCAUCUUUGCUCUACAUGAAGGAAUAUCUAAUUGGCCAUGCCUACAAAUCCUCUACAGCUUCACACUUCCUUAAUAAUUACUCACAGAUUCAAUACCAAUUCUAGUUCUUCCAUCUUCCAGAUACAAGAUUGCCUUCAGAACAUUUUUGUACUUGAACACCAGAAAGGAAAUACACCAUCAUAAAAAAAAGGGCAUGGAGUUUAUAAAGCCAUUAGCGUUACACAGGUAAAACACCUACACAUAAUUUUUGCUCUCUUGGAUAUAAAAAUAGGAAUCAUAGCAAUGCCUGUACCCAUAGAUACAAGCAAAAAACUUCCUCUUCAAUACAAGUAUAUUUAUAGUUAUUUUGGGUGAAUCCACUGACAAAGGGUAUGGAUAAUUAUUACCGAUUAAGCACAGGGUACUUAGUUAAAAUAAAAUAUACAGUUCUUGCCUAAGAAGCCUAUAAUUAAUCAGCAUGUGUGAUCAAAUUGCCACUCAUAACGUCAGAUCAGUUUAGUUUAAUUUAACCAAGUUACUUUGACAUGAGCAUAAGUAUAUAUUUAUUAACAUUUCAACGUUCAACUCAGCAAGACAAUUAUGUUAGUAAAUCUGCUUGCAGUAGCUACACAAAUAUUGGAGGCAUAAACGGUUUUUAUAGAUCUAUAAAUUUGGAAAAUUUUAUGGGUGAAGAUAGAGAGCAGCUCAGAAACACACUCUUCUGAAAGCAAAGGAAAUAAACAAAUGAAAACUCCCUACCUAACAGCAGUGCUGAAGGACUCCGGGUUCACGUGGUGAAUUAUCCAAGAAUAAUGAUAUCCUUAAUGGAUAUAUUGUAUGGAUUUUCUAAAAAGAACCGGAGUCACACAUAAAUCACACCUCUUGAUUAACCCUUUUAUCAUUAUUAGUCUGUCAACAUCAGCAAAGACUAACUAUUGAAAAAUUCAAUCAUUUCAGUGUACUUACAGCUGAAUUUUCUCAUCAUGUGACCAACUAUCCACAAAGCCUCAGUGCCAUUAAGAAGUUUUGAGGAAUAUAUUAUUUGGUACUGCCAAAAAAACAUAAUUAAAAGAACGCAUGUAAAUUAUAUUUAUUUUCUAAUUCAAAACUUUUUUUUUAAUGAUUAUUUCACGUCUAAAGUACAUUUGGGGGAAAGGCAGAACUUACAUUAUCCCAAAAGGCAGGUUCCAGCACAACCCAUGAUACACUGACAGAAUUCACAGUAAGAAGGCACAGUAGGGUCACACAAACAGAACCCCGCACUACUGCAGAAUCUCCUUAAUUUCAAUAGGGCCCUACCCACAUAUAAUCAGUUACAGAGUCCGCCUAUGUGGGAGUAACAACAGUGAGCACGGGACCCGUUCCUCCACACACCUGCAAAACAAGAAUGCAGCGAACUGCCCUUCAGGUAGAUCCAUGCUUCUCUUCCAAUUCUGUGUUGUAUCUCCCAAAGCUUAAGAAAAGUUCAGUGAUACACAGCUUAGUAACAGAAGACUGACGUUAAGUUUAAAGAGUCAAUCUGUUCAGUGGGUUUUUCUGCUUUGUUUUUUAGAGAAUAAGCAUAAUGGCUAUUAAAGAAUCACCUUAAGAUCCUGCUACUGCUACCUGGCUUCAGAUCAUUAUUAUUAGAGAAUAAUUUUUUAAUAACGAGCAAGUCCCAGUUCCCUUUUUGAAAAAUGCCACCCACUGUGCUCUUCAUACCCUUCCUAUUGCUCUAGAGACAAAGAAUAGUCAGCGUGGCAAAGUUAAUAGAGAACUGGACAUUACAGGACAGGUUGGAAGGAAACAAUGUGAACGGGACCAGGAGUGAAAACGACUUAGCAAAAAAGGGAUGGAAUAAAAGAAACAACGUUACUUUCUUAGCAGGGCAAUAAAAACGGGAUUUUCAAAACCAUCCAACUUCUAUUGAAGUGAAAGAAUUACAUCAAUUCCAAAUAUGCUUUUAGAAAACCUUUAAGCCACUUAUCUUUAAGCAUUUAACUUUAAGCAUAUGGAGUAUCUAAACUCCGCUCAGCUAAACAACUGAAGUGCUUAAAUUUAAAAAACAAAUGUAAAUCAUCUUGAAAGCAUUCACCCCGUUUGUAAUACCAAGCUUGCAUACAGAUCUGAGCCCCAACUCCUUACCCUGCUUACAUGCUGACUCACACUUGGGCUGGAUCCAGCCUAUUGGUUCUCAGACAGGCAAACCCAAGUACAAAACGUGAGGGGCUAACGUGCAUUCAGACUUCUCUCUCACAAGCUGGACUCGUGCAAGUAUCGUGACUUAGGUACGAGAUUAAUUGUUUGGUGAAGCAGAGUGCAAAUGAUUAAAUGCUUCGAGUUAAUUCGGGGGAGAGGGUCUCAGAAAGAAAACUAAAGAAAGUGCCCGAGGAAGAAAAAAGAAACUGAAAAUUAAAUCUGGAUUAAAAAUAAAUGACCUCUGGGUUAUAUCUCAGUGCACUCUGCCUGAAAACCACUGCUUCUUUUUGGCUUAAGUAUCAAAUCUCAUUUUUAAAUAUGCAAAAUGGUAACUAACUCAGACAAAGGUUAAAUUAGUUCAGUGUUUGCUGACAGUACCGCAGUAAUCCUUAACACAGAGCAUCACUCGGUUAUUGGUGUAAAGGGCUCGCCAUUUCUUCUGCCUUACAAACACACCCGCGCUUCCAGUCCUGCUUUGGUAAAGAGCAGGGUGAGGGUUAAUACCCAAUAUUCCAAUCUCUGUGGUAGCAGCCAUAAAGGGAGGAGGAAAUGUGGAGAUCGUAAGCUGCUAGUGGGGUUCUGUCCCUUUUACUCCUUACUCUACAGUGCAGUUGCUAAAGGAAAACAUAAAUUGAGCCACUGAAAUCAAAACAGUGAACCAACAAAGUUCAGGGACAUCUCUUGGCAUCCUGUGAACUUCUGGUCAUUGUGAUCUGCCUCCUAAACUGUGGAUCAUUGUAUACACCGUUAUUUUAAGCUGUCACCUCUCAAAACUACCAGGAAGCCAGUACCAGUGCUUAACAGCUACAUUCUCAUGUCCUCUCCCACUACUAAUAUCCCACCCUUCACCUACAGCUAUAAAAAAGGAAAUUCUCUCUAUUUAAAAUGCGUGCUUAAUAAUCCCAUACGUGUAAAAAUCAUGACUCCGUGUUGGUACGGAGCUAGAGCAAGGUUAAAGACCUGACUAAGGCAGUGAGUUACUGAUAGAAUUAGUUCCUCUCCAGAUUCAG